UGGCUCCACCUCUCCUAGAUCUCAUUUAAGGGCUGACCACCACUAAGGCAGGAUCUCUUUCUGGAGAUUGCUAUUUUGUGGAGUUUACAGCGAGCCUCAACAUUGGAUUAGCAUCAGUGUCCUCUUCAAAAUCUUCGCUGUAGCUUUCUGAAGAGUAAAAUAAACAUCAAUCAGAUGAAAUAUCCAGGGAAGAUAAAAGAGUACGGGGAAAGCUAUUUCUUUUCCCCAAUCUUCAGGCUAAGAACAUCUACUGCUGCUAUUACUCUUUGUGAGAAAUAUCAACCUACGCUUUAUCCACAGCAACAGGGAGAUAAGGAAACAGAAGUCAGCUGGCUUACACAUCACACUGAAGAAGGUUCACUGAGGAUGCUGGCCUAUGCUCUGAACCUAAAACCUAGCAAGUGCUAAGCUAUUUUCUGCUUAGUAGGACAAGUCAACACAGAGAAAAAAACAAUCUAAAAGCCUGUGGCAUCAUUUCCCUUUUCCAGACUUUUAAAUUAUAUCCUGCUAUAAUAUGAAGAGUUGCUUUCCUCUGAUGCCCUUCUAGAAGACUUUGCAUUUGAAUUGCAGUAUUAAUCCACAGAUUGCGUUACUGCUACUGUUUAAUGAACCUCUCAUAAUUAAUAGCAUAGACAGUAAAAAAGAUAAUAAUAAUUUUAAAAAAGCAAGAUUUUUCAAGUGAACAGCUUAGAAAC